UAUCUUAGUGGCGGACGGGUGAGUAACGCGUGGGUAACCUGCCUUACACAGGGGGAUAACACCUGGAAACAGGUGCUAAUACCGCAUAAGCGCACAGGGCCGCAUGGCCCGGUGUGAAAAACUCCGGUGGUGUAAGAUGGACCCGCGUCUGAUUAGCUUGUUGGCGGGGUAGGGGCCCACCAAGGCGACGAUCAGUAGCCGGCCUGAGAGGGUGGACGGCCACAUUGGGACUGAGACACGGCCCAAACUCCUACGGGAGGCAGCAG
rnacentral:rRNA from 1 species